rnacentral:RNase_P_RNA from 1 species
CCAGGGGGCCGGGCAGCCGCGUGCCGCAAGGUACGAGGAAAGUCCGGGCUCCACGAAACAAGGGUGGCGGGUAACGCCCGCCCGGUCGCUGUCCUCGGAUGGCGGCCGAGGGAAAGUGCCACAGAGAGCAAACCGCCGAUGGCCUGCUUGCAGGUCCAGGCAAGGGUGAAAGGGUGCGGUAAGAGCGCACCGGGGCUUCGGCAACGCGGCCCGCAUGGCAAACCCCACCCGGAGCAAGGCCGAAUAGGGACCCCGCGCCAGAACUGGCAGGAACGCUUCGUUCCGA